GACGAACGCUGGCGGCGUGCCUAAUACAUGCAAGUCGAACGCAGUGGGGACGGGUGAGUAACACGUGGGUAACCUCCCAUCAGAGGGGAUAACACUUGGAAACAGGUGCUAAACCGAUACUGAUGGAUGGACCCGCGGUGCAUUAGCUAGUUGGUGAGGUAACGGCCCACCAAGGCGAUGAUCAGUAGCCGGUCUGAGCGGAGUAACGGCCACAUUGGGACUGGGACACGGCCCAGACUGCUACGGGAGGCAGCAGUAGGGAAUCUUCGGCAAUGGACGGAAGUCUGACCGAGCAACGCCGCGUGAUUGAAGAAGGUUUUCGGAUCGUAAAGCGCUGUUGUAAGAGAAGCGGUAUCUUACCAGAAAGGGACGGCUAACUACGUGCCAGCAGCCGCGGUAAUUC
rnacentral:rRNA from 1 species